rnacentral:rRNA from 2 species
UACGGAGGGUGCAAGCGUUAUCCGGAUUCACUGGGUUUAAAGGGUGCGUAGGCGGAUUGUUAAGUCAGUGGUGAAAUCAACGGGCUCAACCUGUUAACUGCCAUUGAUACUGAUGGUCUUGAAUAUGAGGGAGGCAGGCGGAAUGUUGCAUGUAGCGGUGAAAUGCUUAGAUAUGCUACGGAACACCGAUUGCGAAGGCAGCUUGCUACUUCAUGAUUGACGCUGAGGCACGAAAGCGUGGGGAGCGAACAGG